CGUAGGCAGUCAGAUGCGACGCAGUUUCCGUUACCACGUAAACUGUCGUCAGCCGUCGAAUUACAGCAGCAGUCAGUUGUGACGUUGCUUGUUGCUACGGAACUGUCGUCUGAUGCGAAGUUGUUCCUGUUGCAACGAAUAAGUGUCGAAUGGCAGCGGGCAUCAAGUUGUACAACACAAUCUAGGGGCUGAGAAAAUACCACAGAAAUGGAGGCUUGGGAACGAGCUGUGGCUGGACGAUGGCUAGGUGUUGAGACACUAUGAAAGGCACCACAACACAACCAGUGCCACAAUAUGUUCUUCAUCUUAAAUUCGGGCAUUCACCCCAGGAAAAGAGAUGACUUGCCUUCAGCACAUGCAGAGUGGAAGGGCCACAUUCUUACUGGGACUCCCGACACUAUCGUGUCUGACGUAUGGAGCUUAUCGCAUGCUGCAGAACACGCCGGUGGUCCUCGCUUUAGAAAAAGGUAGUUCACAAUUCAAUGUGGAAUGAAUACAGUUAGAGUUAAAUGGAAUCUGAAUCAGCAUGAAGGAGAUACUGACCUGAGGUUUGACAUGUUUUGGUGUUGUGUGAAGAGGAGGUUCUUGAGCAGGCCGACUAACUUUACAGCUGUGCAGACACACAAACACUCUACCAGCUCCUAGUGCGGUACAAAGACAGGUGAGGAACCACAUUUUAAAUCUUGGUUGUUUGCGCCUCACUGUCCGUAACCCUCAGGGCUUUUUGCUAGCCAUUUGUGUCCACCUCGCUACCUUUUAUUCAACCAUUUUACCUGUGUUAACGCAAAUGUAAUGAAACUUCCAAAGGGUGGAAAAUGUAAUUUCCAAUCUCAGCUCUUAUACUCUUUACAUCACAUUGUAUCUUUUGGCUUUAUCGUGGCCACAUUUGGACAAUUAAAACCCAUGAAAACAAAAUUUAGUAAUUACACAUAAACAUAAUGUUGGUUACAAUAAUUACGUGUUGACCAAUUAGCAGGCGACCCAAAUGGUUGCUCGUCUACCAUUGGCUCCUAUGUACAGUGUCCCCCAAAACCUGUUUGUACAUGUUUUUGUGUGUGUGUGUGUGUCCAGUGAUAAUGCAGAGUUCUUGUGGCGGCUGGCCAGAGUGUACCGUGAUGUGUCCAUACUGCCCAACACCGAGGAGGGACGGAAGAAGCAGCUCGUUGUAUGAGGCCUUCGAAUAUGCAAAGAAGUCCUUGGAGAAAGAUGAAAAGUGUUUCGCGGCAAAGCAAUUUAGGGUUCAGUGUCUUGACGAAGGACAGACAGAGAACCAAGAUUCAAACCGCUAACCCUUUGUUCACUGGAGACCCUGUUCUACCUACUGAUCCAAAGCACAAUUGUUAUGCAAUUUCAUAAAAUCUAUGUAUUUUUCAUGUAUAAUACAACAAUAAGUCUUCAAUUCUUUAACAUGGAUGUCUUUGGAUUGUGUGAGGAAGGCAGAGUAGUUGGAAACUCCUCCGUAAGCACAGAGCAUGCAAACUCCACACAGUAAGGCCGCAGCUGAGUUUCAAACCCUUAACCUCAGAAUUUAGAAGUAUGCAUGCUAACCACUCGGGCACAUGCUUCCCAAGGUCCUAUUCCUGUUAAUUCCCAUAGAAAGCGUGCACACUUGUGCAACUGCAUUCAUCUUGAAUUCAUUGUCAAGGUUAAGUAUUGUAUAAUCUGUCAAAGUUGAAUAUUUUGAAACUUACCAGUACUCUUCUUUUUUAUGUUACUGGUACUUUCUAGAUUUGCACCAGUAGUGACAUGCAAAGUAGUUAUUUUUUUAUGUUCAGAGCAUCGUGAGAAUACACAAUGCAAUGGCAACAAUGAUAUACCCAACAAGGGCUACACAAACCUUAUUUGCUCAAAGAAAAACUAGGCCAUUAAAGAGUACAGUGUACAUUAUUAGAUCACGUGAGUUUAUAAAGCGUUACAGCACAUGCUGUAUUUUAUGUUGUAAAAGAGUGAUGCUAUUCUAUGAAAGUACUUUACGUUGUAAAAGAAUGAUGCUAUUCUUUGAAAAGUGGGGACACGGUGUACUGGUAAUGUGAUUUUUUGAAAAGUUGGUACGUGGUGUGCUGGUAAUAAUGUGAUUCUUUGAAAAGUAGGUACAUGGGGUUCAGGUACU